rnacentral:rRNA from 1 species
UACGUAGGGUGCAAGCGUUUAAUCGGAAUUACUGGGCGUAAAGCGUGCGCAGGCGGUUUUGUAAGUCUGUCGUGAAAUCCCCGGGCUCAACCUGGGAAUUGCGAUGGAGACUGCAAGGCUAGAAUCUGGCAGAGGGGGGGUAGAAUUCCACGUGUAGCAGUGAAAUGCGUAGAGAUGUGGAGGAACACCGAUGGCGAAGGCAGCCCCCUGGGUCAAGAUUGACGCUCAUGCACGAAAGCGUGGGGAGCAAACAGG